CAUGUUAUGCAAAACCAACUAUUAAUGGAAUCUGAAAAAGAAAUCAAAGAUAAUAACGUGUAGAAUGGUGAAACAACAGUAGCAGAAAAUUGGCAAUAAUUUAUCAUCAUAUAAGACAAAACAAAUUGGCAAAAUGCUACAACUCAACAGAGUUAAAAAAGUGCGAAUACAGUUUCUUAUCAUAAAAAUACCUUCAAAAUCAAGAUCAAUAGAGUGAUACUUUCCCAAUGAUUUAAUUACUGUGUUUAUAUUUAGACCAAUUAUAACAAUAAAGAAGGAUCAUCC